rnacentral:misc_RNA from 1 species
AGCUGACUUAUACUAAUUACCCGUAUCUUUGGCCAUAUUUUUGUCUUCCUUAUAAAACCCUGGUGGUUAAAGAAAAGAGGAAACACCUGUUAACAUUCCGAACACAGAAGUUAAGCUCUUAUUCGCUGAUGGUACUGCGAGUUCGCGGGAGAGUAGGUUAUUGCCGAGGGUUUUUUAUUUUAUACUUCAAAUCUUGAAUUUAUUUUUUAUGUUUUUUAAAUGUUCAUU